CUUUUAUACUGCGCAUGCGCGAGCUAAACAAGUGUAAUGCAGUGUUGACAAUAGAAAAUUAUAUUGGGAAGUUGUCAUUUCUACAGUAAAAACAGCUUUUUUUUCAAGUAGUACGAAUUGUGACUUCGAUUUAUCUGUGGAACUAUUUGAACAGAAGGUAAAGCAGUAAUUUUAUUGUAUUUAGAAAGCAAACAGAGUCAUAUUUUUAAAAAUAUAGCGCACUGAAUAUAAAUUUGAGCGUCAUUAAAAUGUGUUCGCUAUGAUGCCAUUUUGUCUCCGGUAUAUACGGAGUUCUGCUUUUAUACUUGUGGAUAUUCGAAUUUAUUUGGCUCAACCAUUACUUCAAUAUCCCUUUCUUGUUUUUCCUUGGAUAGGUUUUAACAAGAUAGAACUCUAGAUCCCUUGGGUCCAAAGACGCUAGAUUAUAAAAUCCUGAUGUGACUUGAUACUACAAAUAGAAUAUGUCUUAUGAUUUAAUACUACAAAUAAAAUGUCUUUUAAGUACAAACUCCAAUGAAUUGAUAAAGUGUAAGGAUAGUGUUUAAAGUUGCUUCAUGUGUAGAAGCUGAAUUACUUUAGUUUAUACACUGUAUAUUGUCGAGAUCACAUGUUGAUAUAACUUAAUACCAGCAACUUGCAAUAAGUGGUCUGUUCUGCUUGUUUAUAAUACUUUAGAGUUUGGACAUUAGAACAUUGUAAUUGCCUGACAGAGACUGUUAGGUCCUGUUUGUAUGGAAGCCAGGCUGGCCCGCUUAGGAAGACAGCCCGGUAAGGUAGGUAAGCAGGAUGAUUUCUCUUGUGUUUAUUUGAGAAAAUUUCAUUCCGCUUACCGGGACAAUUUUGUUGUUUUGACAUUAUUUUGACAGUUGUUAAAAAUAGCUUGCGGCAGUAUCUUUGAACUUUCAUCCCGGCAACCGGGCUAGCCUGCUUAUGAUUAUUUAUGUGGAGAAAUUUCCAUCCUGGUCUUGGCAACCGGGCCUGCCCGCUUGUCCAUAGAAAUGAUAAUUUGUACUAUAAAAAUAACUAGACAGCGAGAUCUCACUUACCGGGCUGUCUCACUUAGCGGGCCAGCCAGUUUCGAUAUAAACAGGCCCUUACACAACUGCUAAAAGCUGCAAGUUUCUUUAGAGCAAUAUCGUCUAUAUCACAGAAUACAGUUUCUGUAGUGACAUACUUCGUGUUUUUUCUGUCUUUAAAGUGUCUUAUGUUUGUAAUAUUUUUGUACAAUACCUUUUUGAAAUUGUUGAUACUGAUCUCAUUGUAACUCAGUAGUCUCAGUUAUUCCUUCUCAAGAAAAAUAAAAAAACAAAGCUGUGUGGGUGUGUUUUUGCUCUAGCUAGUUUUUAC
rnacentral:lncRNA from 1 species